rnacentral:rRNA from 1 species
GGGACACGUGGUAUCCUGUCUGAAUAUGGGGGGACCAUCCUCCAAGGCUAAAUACUCCUGACUGACCGAUAGUGAACCAGUACCGUGAGGGAAAGGCGAAAAGAACCCCGGCGAGGGGAGUGAAAAAGAACCUGAAACCGUGUACGUACAAGCAGUGGGAGCCUCUUUUAUGGGGUGACUGCGUACCUUUUGUAUAAUGGGUCAGCGACUUAUAUUCUGUAGCAAGGUUAACCGAAUAGGGGAGCCGAAGGGAAACCGAGUCUUAACUGGGCGUUAAGUUGCAGGGUAUAGACCCGAAACCCGGUGAUCUAGCCAUGGGCAGGUUGAAGGUUGGGUAACACUAACUGGAGGACCGAACCGACUAAUGUUGAAAAAUUAGCGGAUGACUUGUGGCUGGGGGUGAAAGGCCAAUCAAACCGGGAGAUAGCUGGUUCUCCCCGAAAGCUAUUUAGGUAGCGCCUCGUGAAUUCAUCUCCGGGGGUAGAGCACUGUUUCGGCAAGGGGGUCAUCCCGACUUACCAA